rnacentral:misc_RNA from 1 species
GAUGAAGAACGCAGCGAAAUGCGAUACGUAAUGUGAAUUGCAAAUUCAGUGAAUCAUCGAGUCUUUGAACGCACAUUGCGCCCCCUGGUAUUCCGGGGGGCAUGCCUGUCCGAGCGUCAUUUCUGCCCUCAAGCACGGCUUGUGUGUUGGGCCCCGUCCUCCGAUCCCGGGGGACGGGCCCGAAAGGCAGCGGCGGCACCGCGUCCGGUCCUCGAGCGUAUGGGGCUUUGUCACCCGCUCUGUAGGCCCGGCCGGCGCUUGCCGAUCAACCCAAAUUUUUAUCCAGGUUGACCUCGGAUCAGGUAGGGAUACCCGCUGAACUUAAGCAUAUCAAUAAGCGGAGGA